AACUGGAUUUCUGUGGUUGGUAAAGCUGUGCUGAGAAGUGGGCUGACACUUGGACCUGGAAAUGUGUCUGCAGACUCUGCACCCAGAGGAAUGACUUUUCCCUGCAGGUUGGGCUUGUCUAAGGUGAUUUUUUCACAAGGAAAGAUUUGAAAUGCUGUUUGCUAAUGGAAGAUGGAGAGAGGAAAAUCAAGUCAAAGGCACGCUGUGCACAGCCAGCACAUAGCAUCUGCACCGCUCUCCCCCUGCACGAAGGAGGAGCAACUCAGCAAGCUUGGCCUGGGCCAUGGAAGGGAGCAUACAAACAUCUGGACCAACCCCAACGAAGCUCCUUCUGCAGGAAUCCAUGUGGGUUUUUUAAUGAAGAACAAACUCGUGCAGCUUGUGAGUGAAUUCAUUCACGCAUGUUAAUCGUUGUUCUUCUCUACGUGGAGCUGCAAUUGCAAUGGAUGCUUGUGGUCUGACGUGCAGCCCCCUCUGAUGUGCUCAGAUGAGCCAAGUUUGCAAGGCCUGGCUCUCGGUUGGUGAGUUGUGCCCAAGGUCAGAGAGGUGACUCUUGUCAGCUUUGAGAUGCAUCUUCCAGUUGCAUGCUGUGUUCUUCCUGUUGCGUUGAGCUCUUGAGCUCCAGCCCUAAGUGAGGAUGCAAGCGCUACCGCAGAAGGGAUGGUUGAGAUUGGAAGUGCAGUGCAAAGGGCUGGAGCCAGCAGGAGCAGGGAUGUGAUCAUCCCCUGUACUCAGCUCUGGUGAGUCCUCACCUUGAGUGCUGUGCUCAGUUCUGGGUCCCUGACUACAUGAAAG